CCUACGGGUGACAGCAGUGGGGAAUAUUGGGCAAUGGGCGAAAGCCUGACCCAGCAACGCCGCGUGAAGGAAGAAGGCUUUCGGGUUGUAAACUUCUUUUGUCAGGGACGAAGCAAGUGACGGUACCUGACGAAUAAGCCACGGCUAACUACGUGCCAGCAGCCGCGGUAAUACGUAGGUGGCAAGCGUUAUCCGGAUUUACUGGGUGUAAAGGGCGUGUAGGCGGGACUGCGAGUCAGAUGUGAAAACUCAGGGCUCAACCCUGAGCCUGCAUUUGAAACUGUAGUUCUUGAGUACUGGGGAGGCAGACGGAAUUCCUAGUGUAGCGGUGAAAUGCGUAGAUAUUAGGAGGAACACCAGUGGCGAAGGCGGUCUGCUGGACAGCAACUGACGCUGAGGCGCGAAAGCGUGGGGAGCAAACAGGAUUAGAUACCCCUGUAGUC
rnacentral:rRNA from 1 species